CCCGGCUGGCGGCGCCCGCCAAGUUGCCUCAGGUGCCGGGGCGUAGCCGUCGGUUAGGAUCAGACGGGCGAAAGCCACGCUGGAACGGCUUCAGGGGAAAGUUAGCUCUCUGCAAAUAUGGGUGUUGAUAUUCCUGCCUCAGAACUACCCUCCUGGGACGUGCCCACGUCGCCAGGUCUGCUCAUCGUGCCAGACGUACAGGUAUAUGAUGACUGUAGAUCCAUAAUCUAGUGAAAAUGGUGUCUUCUGACUGCAUAGUAUCUGAUGUCGUCACUGAGGAAGAUGAAACCUCUUUGUCAAUUACCGUAGACGCCUCAGGGAUCUCUGCCUUUACAUUCACUAUAAAUUGAACUUUUGAAGAUGGCACCUCUGCACACUGAUUUUCAACAUAAUGUUUCAGUUCUGCUACAGCCAACUGGUCAGUCACAAUGAACUCCUCUUCAUAAGGAAACAU